UAUGUUACCUGGCAGGGGAGAUACCGUGAUCAAGAAGGCGGUUUUCCCAAGGCGAGGCUCACCCGCUGCGCUCUGGACGUGCCUGACCCCUGUGAUUUCCCACGUGUGGGAAGCUCGACCGCAUGACUGUGUAGUGGGGGCCGGCGUUCACGCUCUCCCGUA